CAGCAGCCGCGGGAAUACGAGGGGGGCAAGCGUUGUUCGGAAUUAUUGGGCGUAAAGGGUGCGUAGGCGGUUCAGCAAGUCUUAUGUGAAAUCUUCGGGCUCAACCCGAAGUCUGCAUAGGAAACUACUGGGCUUGAGUAUUGGAGAGGUGAGUGGAAUUUCCGGUGUAGCGGUGAAAUGCGUAGAUAUCGGAAAGAACACCUACGGCGAAAGCACUCUGCUGGGCCGACACUGACACUGAGAGACGAAAGCUGGGGGAGCAAAUGGGAUUAGAUACCCCAGUAGUCCCUGUCUCUUAUAC
rnacentral:rRNA from 1 species